GCGUCGCUAGCCCAACCGGGAGAGGCACAGGGUUCAGGUUCCUGGCAGUGCGGGUUCGACUCCCGCGCGACGCACCA
rnacentral:tRNA from 1 species